CUGAAUAGUGUUUAUAGUUUUGAGGAAAGUGUUUGGAUGAGCUAUUGUGUAUUUGAAACCAGCUGAAUGAUUUUAGUAAGCAAUUGAGAAAAAUUGUUAAUGUAUCAGUCAGCUGUCUCCUCUUCAUUUCUUCCUCAUCUUUCAUCUUCAUUAGAUGUUGCCUUUCCUUUAUGCUCCCUUUGAGCCAUUAAUGCAUUAUUCAGUGUAGAACUGACUGAAUGAAGUCAGGGGUUGAGGAGAAAGUGAAUAAGGACAGAGUCUGUCUGUCCGCGCGCUCAGCGCCAAUCAAUGAGAGCCGUUGAGGAGUUUAAUUAAAGGGCGGGAACUCAUUCCGCGCGCGGCAAACACCGGUUCCCGCCCUGAGAGUGCGCGCGCUCAGGCUGCACUGGAUUCCUUCGCCUCAGAUCUUCUGUUCUUAUGUUGUUACAGCAGCUGAGAGGAUGCGGGUUCGAGUGCUGCUGAUCCUGAUCCUCACAUCUGUAUUAAUCACACAUGCUCAAGUGCUCAUGCGCAGAAGGCUGUGUUUUAAAGAGCUGAGCUCCAACACACGCGGUGUGACCUGGACGGAGCCGAAGGGAGCGUUUGACAGCUAUGUAGUCCUGUACAGCACGGACUCAGACCUCUGAGGAGUUUGCAGAGCAGCUUUCCAGAAAGUCAUGGCGAUCAUGUUUAUAAUGUCUCAGCUUUAUGAUAUUGAGUCACGUUUAUCAGAUUAGAGCUGGACGAUGACAACACUCUCACAGCUUUGGUGGAAAAGAUGGAGGCAAUACAGAUUUAGGCAGAAUUUUAUUAUUGGACAUAUUGAAUUGUGUGUUUGUUAAAUCAUUUUUCAUGUUAAAGCAUCCAUAUUUCAGACGCAUCCACUUUGCUGGCAACAGAAAGCGUUGUUGCUCACGUGGAUCUCUGUCUGAUACGAGUGGUCUCCCGCUCUGACAUGAUUUCUUUAGCGCUGUGAUUUAAACACAAUGUGUUGUGUUGACAAGUAACUCAUAAAUCAACAUAAGUGACUCAUAAAACUUAAUUUACUCUCAGCGAGGGAUACUUUGGGUCCUGCUUGAGAGAGCCUCAAACCGUCAGAAAAGAGUGUUUGCUGUCACUGCGGAGUGUGUUUUAGUGUUUACCUGCAGAAUAUGCAGGAUGUUAAUCCUCUAAUGUUAACAACUCAACUGACUCUUGAGACCCUUUUUGUCCUCUUGGUUCUUCUGAUCUUCAUGUUUGUGUGUCUUCAUGUGUUUCUGUUUGUCACACAACAUCAGUGAUUUAGUCUUGUGGGAAAUGUGUAAGUCUCACACCGCACUAAACAUUAGCGUGAAGGUUUUUAUCGGUUUGUUUCUAAAUGUUAGGCAAGCGUCUGCACUCUGCUAUAUUUAGUUUCCAGUUUAAAUGGUGGUUUGAAGCACAGCAACCGCAAAGGCUCUGCAGACGUGACAUUAGCGUGGAGAUUGACGGCUUGUUUGUGUGUGUGUGUGAUUUAUAAUGAGUUGAUUAUGGGCCGUCUGCUGAAGAGAGAGAGAGACACGUCUGUAAAUCUUCUCAAAGGAUCUCCAUUCAUUGCCAUAUUGCAAAAUGUAAAAUCUCAGUAUUUUUCAGAACGUUUAACUGAUUCAAGACUUCAGUUUCAUUUUU
ensembl:lncRNA